GUUAGGGAGCUUGCUCCUUAACUUGGUUAGUGGCGGACGGGUGAGUAACACGUAGGCAACCUGCCCUUAAGAUCGGGAUAACAUUCGGAAACGGAUGCUAAGACCGGAUAAACAAUCUGGCUGCAUGGCUGGAUUGGGAAACAUGGUGCAACUAUGGCUUAAGGAUGGGCCUGCGGCGCAUUAGCUAGUUGGUGGGGUAAUGGCUCACCAAGGCGACGAUGCGUAGCCGACCUGAGAGGGUGAACGGCCACACUGGGACUGAGACACGGCCACUCCUACGGGAGGCAGCAGUAGGGAAUCUUCCACAAUGGGCGAAAGCCUGAUGGAGCAAUGCCGCGUGAGUGAGGAAGGCUUUCGGGUCGUAAAGCUCUGUUGCCAGGGAAGAAUAAGGGUGAGAGUAACUGCUCAUCCGAUGACGGUACCUGAGAAGAAAGCCCCGGCUAACUACGUGCCAGCAGCCGCGGUAAUACGUAGGGGGCAAGCGUUGUCCGGAAUUAUUGGGCGUAAAGCGCGCGCAGGCGGUUCUUUAAGUCUGGUGUCUAAGUGCGGGGCUCAACCCCGUGAUGCACUGGAAACUGGGGAACUUGAGUGCAGAAGAGGAGAGCGGAAUUCCACGUGUAGCGGUGAAAUGCGUAGAGAUGUGGAGGAACACCAGUGGCGAAGGCGGCUCUCUGGACUGUAACUGACGCUGAGGCGCGAAAGCGUGNGGAGCAAACA
rnacentral:rRNA from 1 species